rnacentral:lncRNA from 1 species
GUGCAGUGGGCGCAGGUGCAGUGGGCACGAGUGCAAGUGCAGUGAGUGCAAUGGGUGCAGGUGCAGUGGGUGCAGGUGGGCACCGGUGCAGUGAGUGCAGGUGCAGUGGGCAAAGGUGCAGUGGGUGCAGAUGGGCACAGGUGCAGGUGGGCAUAGGUGCAGUAGGUGCAGGUGCAGUGGGUACAGGUGGGCACAGGUGCAGUGAGUGCAGGUGCAGUGGGCAAAGGUGCAGUGGGUGCAGGUGGGCACAGGUGCAGGUGAGCACAGGUGCAGUGGGUACAGGUGGGCAUAGGUGCAGUGAGUGCAGGUGGGCACAGGUGCAGUGAGUGCAGGUGCAGGUGGGCACAGGUCCAGUGGGUGCAGGUGCAGUGGGUGCAGAUGGGCACAGGUGCAGGUGAGCACAGGUGCAGUGGGUGCAGGUGGGCACAGGUGCAGAAGGUGCAGGUGCAGUGGGUACAGGUGGGCAUAGGUGCAGUGAGUGCAGGUGGGCAUAGGUGCAGUGAGUGCAGGUGCAGGUGGGCGCAGGUCGAGUGGGUGCAGGUGCAGUAGGUGCAGGUGAGCACAGGUGCAGUGGGUACAGGUGGGCACAAGUGCAGAAGGUGCAGGUGCAGUGGGUACAGAUGGGCAUAGGUGCAGUGAGUGCAGGUGAGCACAGGUGCAGUGAGUGCAGGUGCAGGUGGGCGCAGGUCCAGUGGGUGCAGGUGCAGUGGGCACAGGUACAGUGGACACAGGUGGGCACAGGUGCAGUGGGUGCAGGUGCAGUGGGCACAGGUGGGCAC